rnacentral:ncRNA from 1 species
ACGAGCCGGAUGACCGGAGACGGUCACGUCCGGAUCUGUGAGAGGCCGGGGGUGAAAUUCCCCCGGCCCACUCGGC